UUAUAUAUUGAACUUUAAAAAUGCAGAUGAAAAUAGGGGCAGAAUUUUUUCCUCAGAAAAGUUUGCAUCACCGAUCCACAGAUUUAGAGCAGGGGAAUUCUUUCAGAAUUGACAUUAACUGAUGGUCUCCCUCUAUAUAAUGGAGCUCUGGCAGUUUACCUCAUACUCAGACUCUCUUUCUCGAAUGGUUCAUCAAUCAUACCUGAAGAAUGAAGAUCAUCAUGAAGACCGCUUUACUGUUUGCAGUGCUGUGCUGCGCUCUUCUGCCUCAAUCCUCAGAUGGUGAGUUAGAUUAAUUUCUCCUCUCUUGUAUGAGACGGAAACAACUUUCAGUUCCAGAUUCUCCAUUAGAAGGACAGACACGUUAGGCAAAAACAGUUUUUUGUGUAGCCUAUCUUUUAAUUUUGAGAUUUUGGGAAUUUGUGGGAUUCUUCAUUGUGUUUUUUUUUUUUUUGUCUAAUAGAAAGAAGACAUGCGAAAUACACUUUAAAGUAUAUUAUCACAUUUUUUUAUGUCUAUAUUUUUUAAAUUACAAUUUACUGUACAUGUUUAAUUGUUUUAUUAAAAAUUAAGAGCUUAGAGAUUGCUUCUUUACAGAUUCAUGUUAUUUCACAUACAUACAGUAUACUCUAUAUAUAGCAUCAACACAGAGCCACUGGCGUAAAGCAUUUCAUGCCUCAUUUGCAUGUUCAAACAUGACUACAUCAACUUGUAAUACAAAAAAAAAAAAUUUCAGUUCUUAUUUUAAUCAAUCAACUGGGUUAAUAAGGGUGGUAAUGUUAUACUAGAAAUGUUUUUAGUCUUCUCUUUCUGAAAAUAUCUAACCAUAGCCUAUUUUUAAAAUCCUUGAUAAUUAAAAACGUGUUCAAUUUUACUAGCGAGCAUUUUACUUUUCCAGGUCAGCCAUAUUCUGGUGAUGCUUCGACCAGUAUCUGCUGCUUUGGUAAAGGCAGUAACAGCAAAAUUCCUCCGAAUCGCCUAAAGUCUUAUUACUGGACAAGCAGCAUCUGCCCCUUCAACCACAUUGUGUUUGUAACAGCAAAGAGACAUAUCUGUAUGAAUCCAGAAAAUAAGUGGGUGCAGAAGACAAUGAAAGCCAUAGACAAGAAACCAGGUUCAAACUCACCAGUAUGAAACUCGGAAGAUGUUUACUGCCCCUGCUCAGAUACAUUCCCCAUACAUAUGAACAUUUGUAAAAUAAAGUUGCAGAAUAUUUGUUGUUAUUGUAAUAUAUACAAUAUUUUUUUGUGAUAAAUUGUCUAAAAUGUGUUGUCUCUUUUGUGAAAUAUCAGAAUACUCUUAUAACUUGCUUUAUACAUAUAUAUUUGU